rnacentral:rRNA from 1 species
AGAGUUUGAUCAUGGCUCAGGACGAACGCUGGCGGCGUGCCUAAUACAUGCAAGUCGAACGAGAAUUUUUUACACCGAGUGCUUGCACUCACCGUAAGAAAUUCGAGUGGCGGACGGGUGAGUAACACGUGGGUAACCUGCCCAAAAGAAGGGGAUAACAUUUGGAAACAAAUGCUAAUACCGUAUAACCAUGAUGAUCGCAUGGUCAUUAUGUAAAAGGUGGUUUUGCUAUCGCUUUUGGAUGGACCCGCGGCGUAUUAACUAGUUGGUAGGGUAACGGCCUACCAAGGUGAUGAUACGUAGCCGAGUUGAGAGACUGAUCGGCCACAAUGGGACUGAGACACGGCCCAUACUCCUACGGGAGGCAGCAGUAGGGAAUCUUCCACAAUGGGCGCAAGCCUGAUGGAGCAACGCCGCGUGAAUGAAGAAGGUCUUCGGAUCGUAAAAUUCUGUUGUUAGAGAAGAAUAUGAGUAAUAGUAACUGAUUAUUCACUGACGGUAUCUAACCAGCAAGUCACGGCUAACUACGUGCCAGCAGCCGCGGUAAUACGUAGGUGGCAAGCGUUGUCCGGAUUUAUUGGGCGUAAAGGGAACGCAGGCGGUUUUUUAAGUCUGAUGUGAAAGCCUUCGGCUUAACCGGAGAUGUGCAUUGGAAACUGGAAGACUUGAGUGCAGAAGAGGAGAGUGGAACUCCAUGUGUAGCGGUGAAAUGCGUAGAUAUAUGGAAGAACACCAGUGGCGAAAGCGGCUCUCUGGUCUGUAACUGACGCUGAGGUUCGAAAGCAUGGGUAGCGAACAGGAUUAGAUACCCUGGUAGUCC